rnacentral:lncRNA from 1 species
AAACAUCACAUAACCGUUCUUUUUUUGAUGGACGUCUCCGAAAUAUGUACAGCACCCUAUGAUACUUUUUGAGUACCACAGAGGAUCCCGUUCCUUUAGUACAGCUACUUUAUGGUUCAAAGCAAGUUACACUAUUAGAUGCCUUGCGCAAGUAUCUUUUCAUGCAUAUUUUAGGGAACAACCCUCUACUCCCAUUGCUGCGGCCUCACAACUCCAUGCAUAUAGUAGGUCUUUAAAGGAUAUUUGCAAGAUAAUGCUCUGCCUCAUGCAUAUAAUAGGUCUUUAAUGGAUAUUUGUAAGAUAAACCCUGCCUCAUGGCUCCUCCAUCCACCGUCUCUAAUUCGAAAACUCCAUUCUUUUCAUAUUUCUUGCUGCUAAGGGGAUCAGAUCUACGCUACAACUCCAUUACUUCUCAGAACUUAGGAAAAGAAAUCUAUCUCGAUUGAGGGUUGGGGUUUGGAUUUGGAUUUGGAUCUUAUUCCCUUCAAUCUUCUUCUAUGAUAGGAAAAUUGAGGAAUAGAGGCAAGGUGAAGGGCUUUGAAACGAAGUCCAGGGC